UCUGUGGAAAAACUUUUAUUUUACAUUUAAAAAAACAAAAAAAAAACGGGCCAGAACUAAGAUUUCACAACUAGAUUAUUUGCACAUUGCAUGGUCAACACAAUGUAAACGACUAAUAAUCUCAUUCAACAAACAUUUGCCUGUAAAAUUGAUUUCUCGUCAAAGUGUGUACAUAUUAUAUUACAGCAUGUGGUAGAAUUUUACUUCAUGUAUAUAUAUAAUUGAGCAACUACAUCUAGGCAAGUCAGCUUAUAGCUUAGUAUUACAUACUAAAACUAUAUAUCAGGAAUACAAGAUUUGUCUAAAUCAUGGAAAUUAAUUUAAAAAAAAGAAAAUCCACCUAUUCAUCACAAACUCAUUAAUUCACAGAAUUUGAGUCUUUUGCAAAAGAAUCUAGCACCAGGGGGGGG